rnacentral:rRNA from 1 species
AUGGAAGAGGAAGAGGGUGGUGUUACCAACGAGAAGACCGCUGACGAUGGAGAGGGACGCCGGAAAAGGUCGUUGCCGCCGCCGAGCUCGCACCAAAUCGAUGCACAGCCCAGUUCGCCUCCUGGUCGCUACCGCAUGAAGAGGGAAAGGGGGGAUAAUCCACGCAGGAGAGAGAGGGGUAGCCCUUGCUUCAAGAUUGUCCCUCCGGCGCCAUCGACAUGGCUGCCGCCGCCUCCGCAAACCACAAUCGCCAGCGAGGAGGGGCUGAGGAGAGAGGAACGUGAACCACUCGCACCUGAUUAG